AUUGAACGCUGGCGGCAGGCCUAACACAUGCAAGUCGAACGGUAACAGGAAGCAGCUUGCUGCUUUGCUGACGAGUGGCGGACGGGUGAGUAAUGUCUGGGAAACUGCCUGAUGGAGGGGGAUAACUACUGGAAACGGUAGCUAAUACCGCAUAACGUCGCAAGACCAAAGAGGGGGACCUUCGGGCCCCUUGCCACCGGAUGUGCCCAGAUGGGAUUAGCUAGUAGGUGGGGUAACGGCUCACCUAGGCGACGAUCCCUAGCUGGUCUGAGAGGAUGACCAGCCACACUGGAACUGAGACACGGUCCAGACUCCUACGGGAGGCAGCAGUGGGGAAUAUUGCACAAUGGGCGCAAGCCUGAUGCAGCCAUGCCGCGUGUAUGAAGAGGGCCUUCGGGUUGUAAAGUACUUUCAGCGGGGAGGAAGGGAGUAAAGUUAAUACCUUUGCUCAUUGACGUUACCCGCAGAAGAAGCACCGGCUAACUCCGUG
rnacentral:rRNA from 1 species